GGUAGGUGUGUUGGGGAGAUUCUGGUACUGAGGCAUAGGAUGGCUGCUGACACUGCAAAGAGGUUCCCAGUCCUGUCAGCCCCUGCUGGGCGGGAGGGAGUUUGAGAGAACUGAGGCCCAGCCCGCACUCCACCUUCUGGGGCCUGAGCUCCCAGUCCUGCUGACCUGCUCUGCCCCAAAGCUCCCCAAGCAGUCCCCAGAUCUGAAGACUUCAGGCGAGGAAGAUGCAAGGAUAGGAUGAGACCCCUCCCUACCCCAGCUCAUUCUGGGUGGGGAAAGCUCUGAAUAUUCACUUAUUCAUGACACCUACAUUUGCUUGACCUACACUGCUGGUUCCUCCUUGGCCACAACUAAAUCUUCUUCAGGUCUGAGACAAAGGCUGGUCACUGCUCUCAUCUCCAUCCAGGACGGCUUCCUGGAGAAGGGACGACUGAGCCCUCUCCGGUGGAGAGCAGUUACCAAGCCAGCUUCCAGAGGAAGAGGCCACAGGUCCCCGACGGCCCUCCAAGAGGCCCCUGGGAAGGGACAGUGCCUGCUGUCCCACCAACCAGGGCCCUGCAUCUCCUGCAGCCGGGCAGUUCCAAGCUCUCACUCCCACGAGUCCUCCUGUGGCUGGAAGAUGUGACCAGGGCACUCUGUCUGGAGGUCCACCAGACACUUGCCCACUCAUGAACUCUGUCCGGCACCAAUGCCUGAGCUCUGGGACAGUGAUGGACCAGGACACUGGCCCCUGAACAUCUCCCAGGGCCCGACCGCUGGAGGCAGGCUGCCCGGAGGUCCUCAGUGCAGAGCCAGCAGAGCCAGAGGACCGAGAGCAGGGUUUCCGGAAGUGGCCACUGUUCCCUCUUGGCACAAGAUGGCCCAGCCCGCCGCCUCCCGGCUCUGCGCCCCUCUCCUUUGUCUGCCGUCCGCCGCCCAGAGCCCUGGCCCAUGCGCCCGCCGCCCCGGGAACCGCGGGAACAAUGCGAGCCAAUGUCUCCGGCGGGCGGCGAGCCGGCUAUGCAAAUGCCAACAGCCUCUUUUGAAGGAAGGAUCCACCAAGACUUUAGUCUCCCUAACCCAGGGAAAAAGAAGAGAAAAAACGUCCUGAAAACAAAACCCCUACAACAACCUUAAAGUAGGAGAUUUGGGUUGGAAGGCUUUAAUCCCUUAAUCCCUCUCAGAUGGGCCUUGAGACGCUAAUGGUUUUCCUAAUUAUUCCUUCCCAUUUUCCCAUUGCCCCGUAAGGACUUCAAGAGGAGAGACAUUCAGUGAAGGACUGUGUGAUGAAUGGCGGCCGACCUCCCCCCAAAUCAAGCCCUGAGUCCAGACGGCGGUGGGAGAGAUAACAUCUAGGCCUCAGCUCCAGGCCCAGAAAACCUGCAAAACCAGAGAGGGGAUGCCAUGUGGGCCUCAGCACCAGCUGUAUUGACUGACCCCCUGUACUGGCACCGACCAAUCAGGAGACCAGGAAGCUGAAGGAGCACACCUGGAAAGCUGACGAAUAUUCUAUGAAGACCCUCCCCUAAGAUUUCCAUCUGCAAGAGAGAUAAGUGUGCUGGGGACAAAGGACCCAGUGCCAUUCCCUCACAGGCACGGAUCCCCCAACCUCUAAGGGACCCCAGGAAAGUUGCAACCCGGGGAGCAAUGGGCAGCGGCAGCUCCUCCCAGGCUCACCCCCUGGACCUGUCUCCACGGCCCCCUUCUCUCUGAUUUCUCAGUGAGCCGGCGCAGCCCGCCUAGACGUUCCUGUUGCUUCUUCUAGGCCAGUGAUGGCGAACCUUUUGAGCUCGGCGUGUUGGCAUUUUGGA